rnacentral:tRNA from 2 species
GACACCGUAGCCAAGUGGUUACGGCGACAGAUUAGAAUACCCUUCUAGCCAUCUGUUUCACUUUGUGAGCACAGGUUCGAAUCCUGUCGGUGUCG